rnacentral:rRNA from 1 species
GACGAACGCUGGCGGCGUGCUUAACACAUGCAAGUCGAACGGACCUUCGGGUUAGUGGCGAACGGGUGAGUAACACGUGGGUGAUCUGCCCUGCACUUUGGGAUAAGCCUGGGAAACUGGGUCUAAUACCGAAUAGGACCACGGCAUUCAUGUGCUGUGGUGGAAAGCUUUUGCGGUGUGGGAUGGGCCCGCGGCCUAUCAGCUUGUUGGUGGGGUGAUGGCCUACCAAGGCGACGACGGGUAGCCGGCCUGAGAGGGUGACCGGCCACACUGGGACUGAGACACGGCCCAGACUCCUACGGGAGGCAGCAGUGGGGAAUAUUGCACAAUGAGCGCAAGGCUGAUGCAGCGACGCCGCGUGAGGGAUGACGGCCUGCGGGUUGUAAACCUCUUUCAGCACCGACGAAGCGCAAGUGACGGUAGGUGCAGAAGAAGGACCGGCCAACUACGUGCCAGCCGCCGCCGUAAUAC